AUUCUACUCCCUCCGUUGCACAAUACAUGCCUUCUAUUUGUCAAAAUAUAUAUGUAUCUAGACAUGUUUUAGUAUAUAGGUACAUCUAUUUUUGGACAAAUGGAAGUCAAGUAUUUUGGAACGGAGGGAGUACACA
rnacentral:pre_miRNA from 1 species